rnacentral:rRNA from 1 species
ACGGGGGGUGCAAACGUUGUUCGGAUUUACUGGGCGUAAAGCGCGUGCAGGCGGCUUCGUAAGUUGGAUGUGAAGUCCCACGGCUCAACCGUGGACGUGCAUCCAAAACUACGUCGCUGGAGUCUCGGAGAGGAAGGUGGAAUGCUUGGUGUAGAGGUGAAAUUCGUAGAUAUUCGCAAGAACACCAGUGGCGAAGGCGGCCAACUGGUCCGGAACUGACGCUGUGGUGCGAAAGCGUGGGAGCAACCAGGA